UGCCUUACACAUGCAAGUCGAACGGUAACGCGGGGCAACCUGGCGACGAGUGGCGAACGGGUGAGUAAUACAUCGGAACGUGCCCAGUAGUGGGGGAUAGCCCGGCGAAAGCCGGAUUAAUACCGCAUACGACCUAUGGGUGAAAGCAGGGGAUCGCAAGACCUCGCGCUAUUGGAGCGGCCGAUGUCAGAUUAGCUAGUUGGUGGGGUAAAAGCCUACCAAGGCGACGAUCUGUAGCUGGUCUGAGAGGACGACCAGCCACACUGGGACUGAGACACGGCCCAGACUCCUACGGGAGGCAGCAGUGGGGAAUUUUGGACAAUGGGGGCAACCCUGAUCCAGCCAUGCCGCGUGAGUGAUGAAGGCCCUAGGGUUGUAAAGCUC
rnacentral:rRNA from 1 species